rnacentral:rRNA from 1 species
CCCUUAGAUGUUCUGGGCUGCACGCGCGCUACACUGAUGCGCUCAACGAGUUUAUGCCCUUGCCCGGAAGGGUUGGGUAAUCUUUUUAAAACGCAUCGUGAUGGGGAUAGAUUAUUGUAAUUAUUAAUCUUCAACGAGGAAUUCCUAGUAAGCGCGAGUCAUCAGCUCGUGCUGAUUACGUCCCUGCCCUUUGUACACACCGCCCGUCGCACCUACCGAUUGAAUGGUCCGGUGAAAUCUCGGGACGGCGGCUUGGUCGCUUGCGUCCGACUGCUGAAACUUGAUUAAACCAUAUCAUUUAGAGGAAGGUGAAGUCGUAACA